rnacentral:rRNA from 1 species
UACAGAGGUCUCAAGCGUUGUUCGGAUUUAUUGGGCGUAAAGAGCUCGUAGGUGGUUCGGUAAGUCGGAUGUGAAAUCUCCAGGCUCAACCUGGAGGGGUCAUUCGAUACUGCUGUGACUAGAGUCCGGUAGGGGAGCGUGGAAUUCCUGGUGUAGCGGUGAAAUGCGCAGAUAUCAGGAGGAACACCAGCGGCGAAGGCGGCGCUCUGGGCCGGAACUGACGCUGAGGAGCGAAAGCGUGGGGAGCAAACAGG